AUUAGUUAAAAUAAUUAAGGGUAAAAGUGUUAAUCAAAUUUUAGUCUUUCCAGUGGAGGUUGUAAAUGUUAUAAGAACAUUAGAUAAAAAAAUCACUCAAACAAAAACAUUGGAUCCUUUUCAUGUGCUUGCAAGAUUGAAGAAAUAUUUCAUAAAAGUACACAAAUUUAUCUUCGAUCCUUACUUGAAAAAGAAACACCUUCUUUUAUCCCUAUAAAAAUAUUGGGAAGAUGAGAUUGGAGUCAAGUUUUGUUGACUUUUGAUGGCUUAUGAAUCUAGGAUCUCCC
rnacentral:lncRNA from 1 species